rnacentral:rRNA from 1 species
AUUGAACGCUGGCGGCAUGCCUUACACAUGCCAGUCGAACGGUAACGGGCCUUCGGGUGCCGACGAGUGGCGAACGGGUGAGUAAUACAUCGGAACGUGCCCGAUCGUGGGGGAUAACGAGGCGAAAGCUUUGCUAAUACCGCAUACGAUCUACGGAUGAAAGCAGGGGACCGCAAGGCCUUGCGCGGACGGAGCGGCCGAUGGCAGAUUAGGUAGUUGGUGGGAUAAAAGCUUACCAAGCCGACGAUCUGUAGCUGGUCUGAGAGGAUGAUCAGCCACAGGGGAACUGAGACACGGGAGAGGCUCGUAAGGGAGGCAGCAGUGGGGAGUAUUGGAGAAUGGGGGCAAGGUGGAUCCAGCCAUGCCGCGGGUAGGAAGAAGUUCUUCGAAAUGGGAAGCACCUGAAGUUGGGAGGAAGGGCAGGAAGUUAAUACCGUGCUGGUUGGCGGUGACCAACAGAAUAAGCACCGGCGCAAUUGGUG